UUGGUGACAUGGUCCUGCCAACGGAUGCCUUCAAUCUUUCUCAGGCACUGGGUGUCGAAGGAGUCUAGCUUCUGUUUGAGAGACCUGGUGAGAGUCCAAGACUCGGCUCCGUACAGGAACGCUCCGUAAAGAAGAAUCAUUCUUAUUACAAAUGGGUACCCGGGGAGUUAGCUGCUACGAAGAAGUUCAAGGCCGACCAGAAAGCCGUGCAGUCCAUACCCACAGUUACACCUGGGUGGGUCUACAACAAGACAGCUGCUGAUUUGUUUCGGAAACAGAUAAAACACGGCAAUCACAGUAAAAACGGAUAUUUUCUGACAACAGAAGAAACUGCACCAUUGGACUUCAUAUUAAAGCACUAUCAGUCUAAAACAACGCUAAUGAACGUGUCUAGAGAAAUAUUACACCGAUUUCCUAAAGUUGGUUUUCAAGAAUUAUUGUCACUGUAUAUAAUGUAAAGAAAAAUGAUGGACAGAAUGUCGUUUGACGAAUAAGAAAUAUUUUGAAUAUCUUUAAACAAUUUUACGGGAUUACAUAUAUCCACCAUUAUAUAAAAAUCGUCUAAGUAGAUGUUAAUUCUAUGUUUUUGCUUUCUUAACCCUAUCUAGAC